rnacentral:rRNA from 1 species
AUUGAACGCUGGCGGCAUGCCUUACACAUGCAAGUCGAACGGCAGCACGGGUGCUUGCACCUGUUGGCGAGUGGCGAACGGGUGAGUAAUACAUCGGAACAUGUCCUGUAGUGGGGGAUAGCCCGGCGAAAGCCGGAUUAAUACCGCAUACGAUCUACGGAUGACAGCGGGGGACCUUCGGGCCUCGCGCUAUAGGGUUGGCCGAUGGCUGAUUAGCUAGUUGGUGGGGUAAAGGCCUACCAAGGCGACGAUCAGUAGCUGGUCUGAGAGGACGACCAGCCACACUGGGACUGAGACACGGCCCAGACUCCUACGGGAGGCAGCAGUGGGGAAUUUUGGACAAUGGGCGAAAGCCUGAUCCAGCAAUGCCGCGUGUGUGAAGAAGGCCUUCGGGUUGUAAAGCACUUUUGUCCGGAAAGAAAUCCUUGGCCCUAAUACGGUCGGGGGAUGACGGUACCGGAAGAAUAAGCACCGGCUAACUACGUG